rnacentral:rRNA from 1 species
UACGUAGGGGGCAAGCGUUGUCCGGAUUUAUUGGGCGUAAAGAGCGUGUAGGCGGCUUUACAGGUCCGUUGUGAAAACUCGAGGCUCAACCUCGAGACGCCGGUGGAAACCGUAAAGCUAGAGUCCGGAAGAGGAGAGUGGAAUUCCUGGUGUAGCGGUGAAAUGCGCAGAUAUCAGGAAGAACACCCGUGGCGAAGGCGGCUCUCUGGGACGGUACUGACGCUGAGACGCGAAAGUGUGGGGAGCGAACAGG